rnacentral:ncRNA from 1 species
AUAAUCAGCUUGUGAUUGCCCAGCCUUCAUAGUGAGGUAGCUUUCUGAUCCCUAUAUGUUGGCUCUCCGUAUUAAUGUGAAACAAAACUCAUCAAGCGUUGACUUGUUCACCCACUAAUAAAAAACAUGUGCUGGCUCUAGACCAAAUUGAGAAAGGUGUU